rnacentral:rRNA from 1 species
GUGGGGAAUCUUGCGCAAUGGGCGAAAGCCUGACGCAGCCAUGCCGCGUGAAUGAUGAAGGUCUUAGGAUUGUAAAAUUCUUUCACCGGGGACGAUAAUGACGGUACCCGGAGAAGAAGCUCCGGCUAACUCCGUGCCAGCAGCCGCGGUAAUACGAAGGGGGCUAGCGUUGCUCGGAAUUACUGGGCGUAAAGGGCGCGUAGGCGGACAGCUUAGUCAGAGGUGAAAGACCAGGGCUCAACCUUGGAAUUGCAUUUGAUACUGGCUGUCUUGAGUUUGGGAGAGGUGAGUGGAACUCCGAGUGUAGAGGUGAAAUUCGUAGAUAUUCGGAAGAACACCAGUGGCGAAGGCGACUCACUGGCCCGUUACUGACGCUGAGGCGCGAAAGCGUGGGGAGCAAACAGGAUUAGAAACCCGGGUAGUCC